GCUGUGGACUUCUCCCAAGAGGAGUGGGGGAAGCUGGACCCUGUUCAGAGGACCCUGUACCGUGAUGUGAUGCUGGAGACCUUCGGGCACCUCCUGUCUCUGGGGAAUGAGAUCACCAAGCCCAAGGUCAUUUCCCUGUUGGAGCAAGGAGAAGAACCAUGGACUGUGGAGAGAGGAUACCCUCAAAGCACUUGUUCAGAAUGGAUAAGAAGUAUUGAAAGGAAAGCUUUGAUCCCAACACAGAGUGUUUUUGAGGAAGAACAGACCCAUGGCAUGAAUUUGGAAAGAUACAUUUGGGAUGAUCCUUGGUUCCCCAGGGUCGAUGUCUUGGGGUGUGAAGAUCAAUUAAAAAUGUACCACAUGAAUCAGAGUAGAGCUGUGAGGCAAAUGGUCUUCAUGCAAAAGCAAGUACUGUCACAAAGAGGCUCUGAAUUCUAUGAACUUGAGUCAGACUGUAGCCAGAACUUAAACAUUGUUCCAUCUCAGAGAGUUUCACAAAUAGAACAUAUCUAUAAACCUGAUACACUUGCUGAAAGUUGGAGAUAUAAUUCAGCCAUAAUGUAUGCAGAUAAAAUUACCUGUGAAAAUAAUGAUUUUGGGAAAGCCUUCUACCAAUCCAUUCAACCUAUUCAUCCUGCAAGAAUGCAAACUGGAGAUAAUCUUUUCAAAUGUACUGAUGCUGUUAAAUCUUACAAUCAAAUAAUACAUUUUGGUGAUCAUAAGAGAAUUCAUACAGGAGAGAAACUCUAUGAAUAUAAGGAAUGUCAUCAAAUCUUUAAUCAGAGCCCAUCAUUUAAUGAACAUCCAAGAUUCCAUAUUGGAGAAAACCAGUAUGACUAUAAAGAGUAUGAGAAUAUCUUUUACUUCUCAUCCAUUAUGGAACAUCAAAAAAUUGAUACAGUAGAGAAAGCAUAUAAAUACAAUGAAUGGGAGAAAGUCUUUGGGUAUGACUCAUUCCUUACUCAACAUACAAGUACUUACACUGCAGAGAAACCAUAUGAAUAUAAUGAAUGUGGGACAUCUUUCAUCUGGAGCUCUUAUCUUAUCCAACAUAAGAAAACUUGUACUGGAGAGAAACCCUAUGAAUGUGAUAAAUGUGGAAAAGUGUUUAGGAAUCGUUCAGCCCUUACUAAACAUGAACGAACUCACACUGGAAUAAAACCGUAUGAAUGUAAUAAAUGCGGAAAAGCCUUUACCUGGAAUUCUCAUCUUAUUGUACAUAAGAGAAUUCAUACGGGAGAGAAACCUUAUGUUUGUAAUGAAUGUGGGAAAUCUUUCAACUGGAACUCUCAUCUUAUUGGACAUCAGAGAACUCAUACUGGAGAAAAGCCUUUUGAAUGUACUGAAUGUGGGAAGUCUUUCAGCUGGAGCUCCCAUCUUAUUGCCCAUAUGAGAAUGCAUACUGGAGAGAAGCCCUUUAAAUGUGAUGAAUGUGAAAAAGCUUUUAGAGAUUACUCUGCCCUUAGUAAACAUGAAAGAACUCAUUCUGGAGCAAAACCAUAUAAAUGUACCGAAUGUGGGAAAUCCUUCAGCUGGAGCUCACAUCUUAUUGCCCAUCAGAGAACUCAUACAGGGGAGAAACCCUAUAACUGCCAGCAAUGUGGCAAAGCAUUCAGAGAACGCUCAGCCCUCACAAAACAUGAGAUCAUUCAUUCUGGAAUUAAGCCCUAUGAAUGUAAUAAAUGUGGAAAAUGCUGCAGCCAGAUGGCUCACCUUGUUAGGCAUCAAAGGACACAUACUGGAGAGAAGCCCUAUGAGUGCAAUAAAUGUGGAAAAUCCUUCAGUCAGAGCUGUCACCUUGUUGCUCAUCGGAGAAUUCACACUGGCGAGAAACCCUAUAAAUGUAAUCAAUGCGAAAGAUCCUUUAACUGUAGCUCUCAUCUUAUUGCACACCGGAGAACUCAUACUGGCGAAAAACCAUACAGGUGUAACGAAUGUGGGAAAGCAUUCAAUGAGAGUUCUUCACUUAUUGUGCAUCUGAGAAACCAUACUGGAGAAAAACCAUACAAAUGUAAUCAUUGUGAGAAAGCUUUCUGUAAGAAUUCUUCCCUUAUUAUCCAUCAGAGAAUGCAUAGUGGAGAGAAACGCUUUAUAUGCAAUGAAUGUGGAAAAGCCUUUAAUGGUCACUCAGCCCUAAUUCAACACCAGAGAAAUCAUAAUGAAGAGAAAGUCUGUGAAUUGAAUUGAUGGGAGAUUUUUCUUUUAUUCUACCUUUGAUAACAUAUUGGGGGGAAAAAACCUAUAAAUAUAGUCAAGAGGGGAAUUUUUUUCAAUAAGAAUUUAUUAAGAGUUCUCCCUUUAUUAGUCACCAGGAAAUAGCUUCAUAGAAGAAACUCUGUGAAUGAAAAGAAUACGGGAAAGCUUUCAGCAGUUUUCAUCUCUUAUUAAACAAAUAAAGAAAACUCCCUUUAUUUUCCACCAGGAGUCCAUACUUGAGGAAUAUGACAGUAGGAAAUGAGGCACUUUGAGAAAGAGCUCUCAGCUAUUUCUGGAUCAAUGUGCAUUGUUAAGGCAAAAAUCUUAGGAAAAGUGUUUCAACUGGGGAUACACUGUUUUGCAUCAAACUGGAGGACUGGAUGGAAAGCUUUGCAAUAACAACUUGUGCAUAAUUAUAGAAAUACAGAUUUUGCUAUUAUAACAGGAUGGUGUUGGUUCCCUUUAAGGUGAAAAGAUUGAUAGAAUUCAGAAGGGAAGGGAGCUAACCAGUUCAUCACCUGGCGUGAGAAAUUCUCAGUGCUCACAGGGGCC